rnacentral:piRNA from 1 species
UCCCGCCCUGGUGAAUUUGAGGUCAGACC